rnacentral:tRNA from 1 species
GGAGGGGUUCCCGAGCGGCCAAAGGGAGCAGACUGUAAAUCUGCCGGUGACACCUUCGCAGGUUCGAAUCCUGCCCCCUCCA